rnacentral:rRNA from 1 species
CCCGAAUGGUGAUCGUGAUAUUGGGCUAAAGGUCCGUAGCCGGUUUGGUCAGUCCUCCGGGAAAUCUGAUAGCUCAACUAUUAGGCUUUCGGGGGAGUACUGGCCAGACUUGGAACCGGGAGAGGUAAGAGGUACUACAGGGGUAGGAGUGAAAUCUUGUAAUCCCUGUGGGACCACCUGUGGCGAAGGCGUCUUACCAGAACGGGUUCGACGGUGAGGGACGAAAGCUGGGGGGCACGAACCGGAUUAGAUACCCGGGUAGUCCCAGCCGUAAACGAUGCUCGCUAGGUGUCAGGCAUGGCGCGACCGUGUCUGGUGCCGCAGGGAAGCCGUGAAGCGAGCCACCUGGGAAGUACGGCCGCAAGGCUGAAACUUAAAGGAAUUGGCGGGGGAGCACAACAACGGGUGGAGACCCUGCGGUUUAAUUGGACUCAACGCCGGACAACUCACCGGGGGCGACAGCAAUAUGUAGGCCAAGCUGAAGACUUUGCCUGAAUCGCUGAGAAGAGGUGCAUGG